AUUGAACGCUGGCGGCAUGCCUUACACAUGCAAGUCGAACGGCAUCGCGGGAAAGCUUGCUUUCCUGGCGGCGAGUGGCGAACGGGUGAGUAACACAUCGGAACGUACCGGCUAGUGGGGGAUAACCCGUCGAAAGACGGGCUAAUACCGCAUACGCUCUUCGGAGGAAAGCAGGGGACCUUUGGGCCUUGCGCUAGCCGAGCGGCCGAUGUCCGAUUAGCUUGUUGGUGGGGUAAAGGCCAACCAAGGCGACGAUCGGUAGCGGGUCUGAGAGGACGAUCCGCCACACUGGGACUGAGACACGGCCCAGACUCCUACGGGAGGCAGCAGUGGGGAAUCUUGGACAAUGGGGGCAAUCCUGAUCCAGCAAUGCCGCGUGGUUGAAGAAGGCCUUCGGGUUGUAAAGCCCUUUCGGCAGGGAAGAAAUCGGCGGGGCGAAUAACCCUGCUGGAUGACGGUACCUGCAGAAGAAGCACCGGCUAACUACGUG
rnacentral:rRNA from 1 species